rnacentral:rRNA from 1 species
GGGAGCCGUAGGGAAACCGAGUCUUAAACGGGCGCGCAGUCGCUGGAAGUAGACCCGAAACCGGGCGAUCUACCCAUGGCCAGGGUGAAGGUGGGGUAACACCCACUGGAGGCCCGAACCCACCGACGUUGAAAAGUCGGGGGAUGAGCUGUGGGUAGGAGUGAAGGGCUAAUCAAGCUCGGAGAUAGCUGGUUCUCCCCGAAACCUAUUUAGGUAGGCCCUCGUGUAUCACUGCCGGGGGUAGAGCACUGUCAUGGCUAGGGGCCCGUAUAGGGUUACCAAACCAUAGCAAACUCCGAAUACCGGCAAGUGCAGCACGGGAGACAGACGGUGGGCGCUAAGGUUCAUCGUCGAAAGGGAAACAGCCCAGACCGCCAGCUAAGGUCCCCAAAUCACGGCUCAGUGGUUAACGAUGUGGGAAGGCAGAGACAGCCAGUAGGUUGGCUUAGAAGCAGCCACCCUUUAAAGAAAGCGUAAUAGCUCACUGGUCGAGUCGGCCCGCGCGGAAGAUAUAACGGGGCUUAAGUCGUGUACCGAAGCUGCGGACGCGUCUUUGGACGCGUGGUAGGGGAGCGUUCCGUACGCCGCCGAAGGUGUGCCGAAAGGCAUGCUGGAGGUAUCGGAAGUGCGAAUGCUGACAUGAGUAACGAUAAAGGGGGUGAGAGGCCCCCUCGCCGAAAGCCCAAGGUUUCCUGCGCAACGCUAAUCGGCGCAGGGUUAGUCGGUCCCUAAGGCGAGGCCGAAAGGCGUAGCCGAUGGGAAACAGGUCAACAUUCCUGUACCUCUCGAUACUGCGAAGGGGGGACGGAGAAGGCUAGGCGGUCCGGGCGCGUGGUUGUCCCGGUCCAAGCGUGUAGGGAGUACCUCUAGGCAAAUCCGGAGGUGCAAUCCUGAGACGCGACGGCGAGCUCCCAUUGGGGGGCGAAGCCGCCGAUGCCCUGCUCCCUGGAAAAGCCUCUAAGCGAAGGUGUCGAGAGACCGUACCCCAAACCGACACAGGUGGGCAGGGUGAGAAUCCCAAGGCGCUUGAGAGAACUCGGGUGAAGGAACUCGGCAAAAUGGCACCGUAACUUCGGGAGAAGGUGCGCCCGGUCUGGUGAAGGACCUCGCGUCCGGAGCUGGGCUGGGCCGAAGUGACCAGGCGGCUACGACUGUUUACUAAAAACACAGCACUCUGCUAACUCGCAAGAGGACGUAUAGGGUGUGACGCCUGCCCGGUGCCGGAAGGUUAAGUGAUGGGGUUAGCCUCCGGGCGAAGCUCCUGAUCGAAGCCCCGGUAAACGGCGGCCGUAACUAUAACGGUCCUAAGGUAGCGAAAUUCCUUGUCGGGUAAGUUCCGACCUGCACGAAUGGCGUAACGAUGGCCGCGCUGUCUCCACCCGAGACUCAGUGAAAUUGAAAUCGCUGUGAAGAUGCAGUGUACCCGCGGCAAGACGGAAAGACCCCGUGAACCUUUACUACAGCUUCACACUGAACUUUGAGCAUACUUGUGUAGGAUAGGUGGGAGGCGAUGAAGUGAGGGCGCUAGCCCUCAUGGAGCCGCCCUUGAAAUACCACCCUGGUAUGUUCGGAGUUCUAACCUAGGCCCGUUAUCCGGGUCGGGGACAGUGUGUGGUGGGUAGUUUGACUGGGGCGGUCUCCUCCCAAAGCGUAACGGAGGAGUGCGAAGGUACCCUCAGCGCGGUCGGAAAUCGCGCAGUGCGUGUAAAGGCAGAAGGGUGCUUGACUGCGAGACGUACAAGUCGAGCAGGUGCGAAAGCAGGUCUUAGUGAUCCGGUGGCUCUGAAUGGAAGGGCCAUCGCUCAACGGAUAAAAGGUACUCCGGGGAUAACAGGCUGAUUCCUCCCAAGAGUCCAUAUCGACGGAGGAGUUUGGCACCUCGAUGUCGGCUCAUCACAUCCUGGGGCUGUAGCAGGUCCCAAGGGUAUGGCUGUUCGCCAUUUAAAGUGGUACGCGAGCUGGGUUUAGAACGUCGUGAGACAGUUCGGUCCCUAUCUGCCGUGGGCGUUGGAGACUUGAGGGAAGCUGCUCCUAGUACGAGAGGACCGGAGUGGACAUACCUCUGGUGUGCCGGUUGUCACGCCAGUGGCAUUGCCGGGUAGCUACGUAUGGUCGGGAUAACCGCUGAAAGCAUCUAAGCGGGAAGCCCCUCCCAAGAUUAGGUCUCCCUGGACCCGCGAGGUCCCUGAAGGUCCGUCGAAGACUACGACGUUGAUAGGCCGGAUGUGUAAGUGCAGUAAUGCAUGGAGCUAACCGGUACUAAUUGACCGUGAGGCUUGACCAUAUAACGCCCAAGCGGUUGG